UAUUAUGCAUGGCUAUUUCUGCUCCAUGACAAUGUUUAAUAGCCGCAGUAAUCUGACUGUGCAAAGGUAGCAUAAUCAAUUGACUUAUAAUUGAAGUCUAGUAUGAAUGAAUACAUGGGGAAUAACUGUCUCAAUAGUGGUUAAAUGAAUUUACUAACUACGUGAAAAUACGUAUAAUUAAAUAAUAGACGAGAAGACCCUAGAAAUUUUAACUACCAAAAUAAAUACGUUUUGACUGGGGCGGUCGAGUAGCAUUUAACCUACUAUAUUUACAAGACGACUAUAGUAUGAUUGACCAAAUUACUCUAGGGAUAACAGCAUAAUUUUUUAUAAAGUUUGUGACCUCGAUGUUGGAUUAGGGUGCUUAAGCCCAGAAAGUAAAAAGCUAGGCUCUGUUCGAGCAAU
rnacentral:rRNA from 1 species